CAGCGCUGUCUGGCUUUCUUGGGGACACGGCAGAAACUGGGAGUUGGAAAUUCCCACCUAGCACAUAGUUGUGACCUGCUUAUGCUUCUUUGUGCAUUAAAGCCCAGGUUUGCUCUGCUUCUCGUUUGUGGCCUCAUUUGGAAAUUGUGCACAGUAAUUGCUAUAUAACCUGAGCAUUUUGUUACUUCCUUGCAAGCCCUUGGGGAACAAGACCCCCCAGCAGUCUCGGAUGCUCUGCAGGAGGUACCUUGAACGACGUCGGCUUCAGCUUGGCCAGGGCUGCUUGGACCUCGUUCUCUCCUCUCCUUGCUGCGUGCAGUGAGAUGCAGGGCUGUUCCUAGGAGCUCCAGUUCCGGGCCAGUGCCUCUUACGGACAAACACAGAACAAAACCAAAGCUCCUGAGCCAAACAGCUGCCUUUUAACCAGCAGCGGUGGACAAGAGACCAUACGGAGGAAUCUGCCCUGUCCUUCUCCUGAGGACCGCAGGUAUGAAGUCGUAACCCCCAGUUCCCCAACAGUGCUCGAAUUCAUGGCCUACGUUCCUACCGCUGGGUGGGUCAUAAAUCCUCGUGAGCUGCCGAUAGACAAAGCAGUCAUUCAUCUUCCUCGUGAGGUGGCUCCGGGCUGGGCUCGGGGGACUUCCCUGCCAGCUCACGGAUCCCCGCGACCUUGACUUGCUUCUCGU
rnacentral:lncRNA from 1 species